rnacentral:rRNA from 1 species
GACGAACGCUGGCGGCGUGCUUAACACAUGCAAGUCGAACGGUGAUGCUCCAGCUUGCUGGAGUGGAUCAGUGGCGAACGGGUGAGUAACACGUGAGCAACCUGCCUCAGACUCUGGAAUAAGCGCUGGAAACGGCGUCUAAUACUGGAUACGAAACUGGCCCGCAUGGGCAUGGUUUGGAAAGUUGUUCGGUUUGGGAUGGGCUCGCGGCCUAACAGCUUGUUGGUGAGGUAAUGGCUCACCAAGGCGACGACGGGUAGCCUGCCUGAGAGGGCGACCGGCGACACUGGGACUGAGACACGGCCCAGACUGCAACGGGAGGCAGCAGUGGGGAAUAUUGCACAAUGGGCCAAAGCCUGAGGCAGCGACGCCGCGUGAGGGAUGACGGCCUUCGGGUUGUAAACCUCUUGCAGCAGGGAAGAAGCGAAAGUGACGGUACCUGCAGAAGAAGCACCGGCUAACUACGUG